rnacentral:sRNA from 1 species
GUCGGCCUGUGAUCCAGACCUAUUUAUGUUCGAGUUUAGAGUUAAGCAGUUCCUCCAAAAACGUUAUCAUCCGAUUCCGCUUCAAAGACGAACCUUCUAAGUACCUCCCAUAAGUAAUGUUUCUGAAAUGGCCGCAAUUGCCUCUUAUGGCAGAUUUUGUAAAUAUAUUUAAAGGUAAAAGUAAUGUCUAAGAAGACGGGUCAAGUUAAGUGGUUCAACGAAAGCAAAGGUUUUGGUUUCAUUGAGCAGCACGAUGGCGGCAAAGAUGUAUUCGUACACUUCUCCGCAAUCAUGACCGACGGUUUCAAGACCCUGGCUGAAGGCCAGCGCGUCGAGUACACCAUCCAGGACAGCCCGCGCGGGCCGGCUGCCGCCAACGUAGUUGCUCUGUAAGAAGACAGGGAACGCGUAUAAAGAGAUCUUAAU